ensembl:lncRNA
GGAAACUAAAAAGAUAUGGGUCCUGAGAUCCUCGAAAGGUUCUACAGCUGCAACACCAAGAGCAUCCUGAACGGUUGCAUCACUGCUUGGUACGAUGAAAUGCCGUCCGUACCGUAUCUACUAGCACACAGCAGUUGAAAGAGACUAUCCAGGAUGACUGACAGAAUUAUUCCUCGUCUUAACGGUGGAUAUUCACCUUCAUCUGCAUCUUAUCCAUAUUAUAACCCUCAAUGUAUUGUUUUUAUGUUUGGCAUGGUUCAAUAAAUUAUAUUGAUAACUCAUAGGCUACCUUUUCAAGCUGAACUACAGUAAACAGAUGGACCGCCUGGGAGUAGGCCUCAGUGAGAGAACAGCAGGCUGAAGGGAGGCAACGGGCCGAGACAAAGAGAGGGCUCCUGCCUCCUGCACUGAGGGCCAGAGGCAGCUGAGCUGAGAGGAUGGGAGGAGAGAGAGAGG